rnacentral:rRNA from 1 species
UACGGAGGGUGCAAGCGUUAUCCGGAUUUACUGGGUUUAAAGGGCGCGUAGGCGGUGCGGUAAGUCACCUGUGAAAUCUCCUGGCUCAACUGGGAGCUUGCAGGCGAAACUGCCGUGCUGGAGUGUGGGAGAGGUGCGUGGAAUUCCUGGUGUAGCGGUGAAAUGCGUAGAUAUCAGGAGGAACACCUGUGGCGAAAGCGGCGCACUGGACCACAACUGACGCUGAGGCGCGAAAGCUAGGGGAGCAAACAGG